AUAUCUCUCCGUACGGGAAGGAUGAGAAGCUUCGAUUAAGGUUCGAUUCGAGCGCAGCGAGAAAGCGUUGCCGCAGGCAACGACCCGAA
rnacentral:sRNA from 1 species